CAAUAAGAAAAUAAUACUCACUUUUGGCUUACAAGACCAAUGCUCUAAAUUUAAGCUAUUAUUGC
rnacentral:tRNA from 1 species